rnacentral:tRNA from 1 species
AUGAAGAAAGAAGCAUGAGCGGUGAUGCGGUUGGCUUGAAACCAGCGUGUGAGGGUUCGAUUCCUUCCUUUCUUG